CCAAAAGUCUCUUCUAAUCCAACUACAUUAGGAGGAUAUGUGAACCAAAUACCAGAUACAUCAUUGAUGAGAAGUUUGAAGCAUUCAAAGGAUGUCAUUGAGAAUUUUCUUGGCUACUCCAGAUCACCAAACUGAAUUCAGCUGGUUGACAAUCUCCUGAUAGCAUACAAGACCAUAAAGUGCAACCUGUUACUGAUGGUUCCUUUCUGCAUUGACACUUGGACUUCUUUCCCAAAAACCUAGGGGCAAUCAGUGAUGAACAUGUUGAAAGCUUUCACCAGAACAUUGCCACAAUGGAAAAACAAUAUAGCAACUGGGAUCUAUCAGUGCUGGCUGACUAUUAUUGACGCUACAGUGAGAUACAUAAGAUACUGACUACAAGCAGAAAUCAGCAGCAAAAUACUUUUGUCCCUGUUGAACUCAUGCAGCCUGUCAGAAAUAUCAUGUGAUUAAAUACAUAGUUAUUAAAAUUUAA